GUGUGUGCACACACACACUAGCAUUGGAAUGACGUGGAAAAGAUGGGCGUGGCCCCUGCUGAAAGAGAACAUGUGAAUUCAUGAAGUGUUCUGUGUUUUU
rnacentral:snRNA from 1 species